UCAGAUUUUUACUGUUUUCCAAAUAGAGAGAAGAAGAGACUUGUUUACCUGGCUGGAACCAUUCCUGUCCACUUUGAAGGAAGUGAGUAUAAUAUCCCAGUUUGCAUUUGGCUCCAUGAGACACACCAA